UGCGCGUGCCCGUCAUUUUGUAACGGUCAACUUCCAGCGGACGGACACGGAGGAAAGGGCCUGACAACCACCAGUUGAGUCCAUAAUUCAGGGAAGAGACAGUCUGGGCAGCAGCAACAAGACAACUAUUACAAGUAGAGAACUGGUACUAAUUUGGUUCCUGACUUGUUCGACCCAACCACAUAUCCUCCAAAUCAUCUCUGCGUGGAUGGCAGCAAGGAUCCAGGAUCAAGAGAUCAUUCUUCAUGGAGACUGUUCCACAGGAAGCAGUUUCUCCUGGGUGAAAAACUAAACCUGGUUGUUUCAGCAUCACUCAGGCAAGACUAAAUACUUUUAAAUUGAUUUCAGUUGGUUAUGUGUUUCAGGUCAUCCUGACCAUUCUGCUGUCCUGGAUGUAAGUCCGUGCAGGAACUACAUUUCUCGUUGUUGAAAGAUUUGUGCAGCGGUAUCCAGACAUAUAACGCCCCAUCACACGGGGCGUCAACGCCUCUCGUUUACUUUUAAAUGGAGUGACGUCAAGCAUGGUGAAAUUAAUUCUAGAAAUUCUAAAUAGAAGUUGAAGACUUUUCAAGCGCCAAUGCAGCCGUCCUCCAGUCAGAACGCCUUAUGCAAAUAAACUAGCGCAGACGCAAGCCAAUCAAGUGCAUGCAAUACCAGAAAACUAAUGUGAUUGGCUGUCACUAUGAGAAGAGACAGUAAUUCCGAUCCGAUAUCAGUGUCGUAUUUUGCAAAAAAAAAUUUAAAUCAAUGUAGAAUUUUCUAUACUUCUGUGUAGGGAUGUCAAUUUUCAAUCAUUUCCAUGAUCGAUCGUCAUUUAAAUUAAUGAUCAAAUAAUCGAUUAAUCGUUAACCUUAAUGCUGCAAAGUCUAUUGCAGUAACACCCAGUCACUGGUAUGACAGGAUGUGCAAAAGUGUGUGUGUGUGUGUGUGU